UUUUACCUGCAAAAUUCCCUAAUUAGUUAAGACUGUGUUUCGUUUGGAUAUAAGCAAUAAUUGCUUAUUUUAGAAAUAAGUACAAGUUCAGAUAUAAGCAGAAAUUAGGCCACUUUUGCAUUUAGAAGAAAAUUGAGUUGUUUUUAGAAAUAAGGUAUAUAGUAUUUGGAUUGUUAGAUUUGAACAAGAGAAUAAGAGUUAUAAUUUCAAAUUAAAAUUAUUUUAUCUAAUUAAUUAACAUCAAAAUACUACUUAAAAAUAAUUUAAUAAAUUAAUAAAUUUAUUAGCUAUGAAUAUUGUAUAAGAUAAUGAAAAUAUACUAAUUAAUUAAUUAAUUAAAUAUAAAAAAAUAAUUUAACUUUUUAAUUAGUUAGUAAAUUAUUUUAGUUAGAUAACUAGUAUAUAAAUUAAUUAUAUUAAUAAAAAUAUUAAUGGUUGAUCAAUAUAAAUAUUAGUUUAUAAAUAAACAUAUUAAAUUAUUAAUAAUUAAUUAGCUAAUUAAUUAUAAGUAAUAAAUUAAUUAAUUAUUUUAUUAUUUAAGCAAUGGAUAAUAAUUUAAAUAUAUUAAUUAAAUUAAUUAAUAAUUUAACAUUAUAAUUUAAAUUAAAUUUAGGUUUUAAUUAACCUUGUUUAAUUCCAAUUGGGAACAAGCUUGUUUAAGAGAAAAAAGUGAAACAGUAGUUCUAGUCUUAUACCAGCUUACUCCAGGGAUUCGAAAAUUACUGUUUUCGGAUACGAAAAUUUUCGUUUGGGAACAAAACAGGGAACAAAGCU
rnacentral:lncRNA from 1 species